AAGGGGGCAGUCAUCCCAAUGGGCCUUGCAAGAAGUACGGGUUAAUAUGGUUACGGCAUUUUCUUCUAGGAACAAAUAUGAUCCCACAUUUAGCUCCACAGGAAGUCAACAAGCACAAGAAACAACAGGGCAAAGGUGUUCCAGAAAAGCGAGCCAGAGCACAUGAGCACCAGGGGCCCUUUCAAAAUAAAGGCAGACCGAGAGGAAGGUAGGCUGCUCCCCCAAGAGUCUGAUGUGGGACCUCAGUGGGAGUUCCAGGCUUGGACCAAAGGCUGUUCGUGACCUUUGUCCAACUGCUACAAGCUCUUAAAAAAAGACAGUCCAGAUUUGCUUCUUUCAUCCUGUAACAGGAAGCUCUUAAGCAGGGCAUGCGGCAAAGUCCCUGACCAUGUGUCUCCUGUCUCUGCAGGGCUCAGUGCAUGCAAAGGGAGGAUCACCCUCUGUCCAGCCAGAGGGGUGCGCCACCCCAGCUGCCAGUCUGCACGGCUGCCCAGACUCCAGGGUAAUGUAAGAAGGGAUGACCACAAUGACACCAAAGUCACCUCACUGUUUUCCCUGGACCGAGUCAGGGCUCAUCAUACAAUAGAAGAACAAGCCUCAGGAGACUCCAGGAAUACACAGACAUGGAGGUAAAAACUCAAAAAAGAAAUGAAAUCAAGCAGAAGCCUGGACGGGAAAGAGAUCUGGAUAAACAGAGGUGAGAGGAGAAACAAAUGGACUGACACUGCAAUAAAAGUGAAGAAAAGAAGGAGAAAACCCCA
rnacentral:lncRNA from 1 species